rnacentral:misc_RNA from 1 species
UUUCCGUAGGUGAACCUGCGGAAGGAUCAUUAUUGUAUAACCGAGGUGCGAGGGCUGUCGCUGACCCGAAAGGUCGUGCACGCCCGAGUGCCCUCACUCACAUCCAUCUCACCCCUAUGUGCACCACCGCGUGGAUCCCCCUUUGGCUUGUUCGGAGGGGGGCUUACGUUUUCACACAAACUUUGUAUGCAGUGUAGAAUGUAUUUUUUGUUUUUGCGAUCACGCAAUCAAUACAACUUUCAACAACGGAUCUCUUGGCUCUC